UUUCCGCCCUUUGGUGUCCGCUCUUCACUGUCUAGCUGUCGUUCUCGCCGGGGAGGAGGUGCGCUUGUCAAUGGCUCGGUCAGGUGGCAGUCGCUGUUAGAAGAGGGGUAGGUCCGGCAGAUCGUUCUCGCCGACGACUCCGCCGUUGGGUGCUUCGCACAGAGUCGCGGAGGCAUCACGAGGGUUGCGGGAUUGCAUCGAGGGUUUCUGCUCGGCGGCGGAUCGCGAAUCAGUGGGGUAUGCGAGGGGGAAACCGAGCUCCAUGUGACAAUGUUUUCCUGUAAAAAAUCUGGUAGGAAUGAAGUUGUAUUUGAGCAUGCCUCCCGCAAAGCCAGAUGGUCGGACUUUGAAGGAGGGGACGAAUGUUUCUAGAGUAAUAGUUGAUGCGUGGUGUUCAGUGCUCAAUGCGAGGGAGCAACCUAGGAGAUGGUGGGGGGUGCCUACUCGCCUGUUUGUCUCGACGGCCGCUACGGGCAGCGAGUUGCAUUCGUACUCCUAAUACAUUAGAGUAAAUCUCAUUGGAUCUGUUCACACUGUUCAGCCUUUAGUUAUUUUAUUUUUGUCUUUCCAUAUUUUACAUCUUUAGCUCCCCCUUCUGGUUUGAUAAGAUAUCAGCUGAACCAAUGCUCUGUAAAAUGCUGGGUGGAUGACAUUUGAGUGGGUAGAUGUUUUUGUACCAAGAAUCUAUUUGUAUUAUGUGUCUUUAUUGGUUGCAUAUAUUGUAUUAAAGAGAUUAUGCUUGUUAUUAAAAUCACUCUAGCAGUAGAUUUGAUACC